CCCGCCGGCGACCGGCGCACGGGUGAGUAACACGUAUGAAACCUGCCCGUAGCAGGGGGAUAAGCGGAAGAAAUUCCGUCUAAUACCGCGUAACAACCCAUGGAGGCAUCUCUGUGGGUUUAAAGGAAGCGAUUCCGGCGGGGGAUGGGCAUGCGGCGCAUUAGCUAGUCGGCGGGGUAACGGCCCACCGAGGCGACGAUGCGUAGGGGUUCUGAGAGGAAGGUCCCCCACACUGGUACUGAGACACGGACCAGACUCCUACGGGAGGCAGCAG
rnacentral:rRNA from 1 species